UACGGAGGGUGCAAGCGUUAUCCGGAUUCACUGGGUUUAAAGGGUGCGUAGGUGGGUUGAUAAGUCAGUGGUGAAAUCCCCGAGCUUAACUUGGGAACUGCCAUUGAUACUAUUGAUCUUGAAUACCGUGGAGGUCAGCGGAACAUGUCAUGUAGCGGUGAAAUGCUUAGAUAUGACAUAGAACACCAAUUGCGAAGGCAGCUGGCUACGCGAAUAUUGACACUGAUGCACGAAAGCGUGGGGAUCAAACAGG
rnacentral:rRNA from 1 species